rnacentral:rRNA from 1 species
AUGGGUGUUCUUAUGUUGGUGCUAGGUUUAGGUUUAGGGCUAGGGUUAUGGUUAGGUUUAGGUUUAGGAUUAGGGUUAUGGUUAGGGUUAGGGUUGUUGUUUUAUAUAUAUAUAUUAGGGUUUGUAUUCGGUGUUAAUCCAUGGAUUAGUACUCAUGGAAGCAAUGUUACCUUGUGUUCAUUGCUUAUAGGGAUGGGAAGAACAUGUGUGUUUGUUCAUCAUGGGGACAAAGACGCCUUUUUGAAAGGCAAUAAAGAACCGGACCCGGAUGAGCUUGACAUUGUGUUUGAUAGUAGUCCUAGCUAUGCGGAGCUCUUGCAACAAGUUAGGAAAGAUUUGAAUUGGAUGGACCCUAGUGAUAUCAUUGAGUUGGAGGGAAGGCAUAAUGUUGGUUUUGGAAUGCACAUCCGUUGGAAGACAAUGCAUGUAAACUCGGAGCAACGUUGGGUUGCAUACAAGGAGACGGUGGCCGAAUCACUAGACAAGGCUCUUGAGUUAUUUGCAACGAAGAAGGUUGAGUCAAGUUUGCAUUUGGACUUGAACCGGAACCCCUCCCCUUUGGUUGCUAGUAGCCCCCCACCCUUGAAGCAAGAUGAAAUUGUUGAACCGCUUUUGACCCAAGAAGUGAGGCCAACAUUGAGCCCGUGUAGAAACAACCAAGAUGAAUUUUUGCAAGAGGACAACGAUGAGUAUGCGGACGAUGACAAUGAAGUUGAUCUCCAUGACAACAAUGUGGGUGAUCUCGACAAAUAUCAUUUGCAAGAGACAAUGGACCAUUCCAUCCCUUUUUCCCGUGCAUAUGCAUCGGACUCGGAUGACGAUGGUCCCGAUGAACAAGUUGAUGCGGAGGGGUUCACGGUGAAGGAGGCCGAAGCUUUCGAGAAGGUAUUUGGUCGGGAUCAUCGGACUACAUUGUUCAAGGAUGUUAGUCUCGCGGAUGAAGCCGUGGUAGAUGGUGGCCAAUGUGUAGCUCUUGGGGUUAGGCCAAGCUCUCACCGUGAUUUGGUAGACGACCAGAACCGGAUUGCUAAAGGUUCUAAGUUCGACAGCUUGUUGGAUUUGAAGAUGUGGCUCGACAACUACUCGGUUACGCAUUAUCGUCCACACAAGGUGGUGCACUCGGACGUCAAUGUGCGCUACACGGUUGCAUGUGCAUGUGAAGAUGAAAAGGAGGUCCAACUUGGACUUAAAAGAGGCCGUGGUGGUGGUAGAGGUCGUGGAAAGGAGGUCCAACAAGGAGUGGCAAGACGCUGUAGCGGUUGUCCGUGGAUUGUGCGUGCAAGACCAUGGAAAGGAGGUCCUACUUGGCAUGUAGUGAGUUGUGUGCCAACUCACAUGUGCCAAGGCAAAAGGGUGGAUGGCAAGAUUGUGUCCCAAGACCACAAACAACUCACGUCCGAGUUCAUCGCUUACAGGCUCUCGAACUCAAUAUCCACACUUCCAACAAUGAGCAUUCAACAUGUCAUUGACCUUGUGAAAGCCAUCUUUCAUUACCAAGUGAAAUACGGCAAGGCAUGGAAGGCGAAGCAAGCCGCAUUUAAGAUGUUGUAUGGUACAUGGGAGGAAGCAUACAACCGAAUCCCUAGGUUGUUGUUAGCCAUGGCCGCGACAAACCCGGGUAUGGUUCAUGUGGUCGAGCCUCAUGGGCACCAAACAACGGUUCAUGAAGGAAGGAAAGUCAGAGUAUUUGGCCGUGCUUUUUGGGCGUUCGAGCAAUGUGUGGGGGCUUUCGAACAUUGUAGGCCGGUCAUCGCAAUUGAUGGCACGUUCUUGACCGGACAAUACAAGGGCACCUUGUUGGUUGCGAUAGCAAGUGAUGCCAAUAACCGGGUGUUGCCAUUGGCAUUUGCUUUGGUUGAGGUGGAAAACAAUGACAACUGGGAGUGGUUUCUACAUCUUUUGAGGACGAAGGUGUUACCCGCUCAAAGGAAAAUUUGUGUCAUAUCGGAUCGGAAUCAAGGAAUUCUUAACGCCGUGGAGAUUGACAUUCCCGGGCAUGCUCCGUUGCACCAUCGAUGGUGCAUGAGGCACUUUUGUUCGAACUUCUAUAGGGCAUGUGGCCUUAAGGAGUUGGCCGAUGAUCUUCAAGAUUGUUGUCUCGCUUUCUCCGAUAAGCGCUUCGCCACUUUGUACAACAAAUUGCUCGCACACAAAAAACUUGAUCCCGGGGGUCAAGACUUUCUCAAUAGGCACAUUCAAUACCGGAACAAGUGGGCACGUGCUUUUGAUGAAGAUGGUCGGAGAUACGGUCAAAUGACAAGCAAUAUGGCCGAAUGCUUCAAUAGGGUGCUCAAAGGUGCACGUGGAUUACCCGUGACGGCAAUAGUUCAAUACACAUUUGACAAGAUGAAUGCGUACUUUGUAAAGUACUCGAUGGAAACCGAUGCACAGAUAGCGGGUGAGAACCCACGGAAGUACAAGUACAAGUUCCCAUCCAAAGUUGAUGAAUGGUUGCUAUUUCAAUCACGGAAGGCGGACUCAGAAGAAGCUAUAUUAUAUGACAAUGAGGAGUGGAAGUACGAAGUGAAAGAGCCAGGAGGAACCACAAACGAUGGCCGGCAACAUGGAGGUCGGGCUUUCAAGGUGUCAUUAACACAAUGUGAUUGCACUUGCGGGAGGCCAUUGUUGCUUCAUCUCCCAUGCUCACAUUUGUAUGCCGCCGGCCGCGUUAGGAAUAUGGACAUCAAUCACCCACGCACCGUGAGGGAGUCCCAGUUCUCAAUCAUGACGGUCAAGAAAACAUGGGCUCCCCGCUUUCACCCAUACUUUGACCAAUCACAAUGGCCGGAGUAUCAUGGAGUUCAACUAUGGCCGGAUCCGGAGUUGAAGGUUGUUAAACGGGGUAGACGUAAGACAAGGCGUCUUAGAGGCGACAUGGACGGAUGGGGCCAUGGUGGGCGCCGCGAAGCGGGCAACGACCAAUUCCAAGAGCCUCGUGAGAGCUCCCAUUGUGGGGAGUGCAAAGGUCAUGGCCACAACAAAAGAAAAUGUACGAAACCAAGGAAAAGGUCCAAGAAAAAUGAUGCAAGCACAAGCCAACAUGGAGCUACACAAGGGAGCCAACCAAGUGGUAGCCAACCUAGUGGUCGCCAACCUAGUGGUAGCCAACCAAGUGGUAGCCAACCUAGUGGUAGCCAACAAGUGCCAAGGCAACCAAGUGGUACCCAACAAGUGCCUAGCCAACCAAGUGUUAGCCAACCUAGUGGUAGCCAACAAGUGCCAAGGCAACCAAGUGGUAGCCAACAAGUGCCUAGCCAACCAAGAGGUCGGCAACUUGGACUUACAAGAGGCCGUGGUGGUGGUAGAGGUGGUGGUGGUGGUCUCGGCCGUGGUGGUGGAAGAGCUCGACGUGGUGGUAAUGGCCGUGGUGAUGGUCUCGGCCUUGGUGAUGGUCUUGGCCUUGGUGGUGGACUUGGCCGUGGUGAUGGACAAGCGCAAGUUCGUUAUAGAGGAAUGUUUGGAUACCUAGAUGGACCGUUUCCGUAUGUUCCUCACUAA